AGCUCCAAUAGCGUAUAUUAAUGUUGUUGCAGUUAAAAAGCUCGUAGUUGGACUUCUGGUGGGAGCGAUCAGUCUCGCGCUCUGUCGUGAGUACUUGAAUUGUCUCCGGCCAUCCUAGUGGAGAGCCAGUCUGGCAUUAGGUUGUCGGGCUGGGGAUCUGCUUCGUUUACUGUGAAAAAAUUAGAGUGUUCAAAGCAGGCUUAUGCCGUUGAAUAUAUUAGCAUGGAAUAAUAAGAUAGGACCUUGGUACUAUUUUGUUGGUUUGUGUGUCGAGGUAAUGAUUAAUAGGGACAGUUGGGGGUAUUUGUAUUGCAUUGUCAGAGGUGAAAUUCUUGGAUUUCUGCAAGACAAACUACUGCGAAAGCAUUUACCAAGGAUGUUUUCAUUA
rnacentral:rRNA from 1 species